ACAGCUCUCUCCUCACACAGGGCUGAGGUCUCUGGGAAGGCAGAGCUGUGGUCUAGAAGAAGAUGAGGCUGCUGAGUCUUCUCCUGUGCCUGCUGACAGCCUCCCGAGGUGUCCUGUCCCAGGUGCAGCUGCAGGAGUCCGGCCCAGGAGUGGUGAAGCCCUCACAGACCCUCUCCCUCACCUGCACUGUCUCUGGAUUCUCUCUGACGAGCUAUGGUGUACACUGGACCCGCCAGGCUCCAGGAAAGGGGCUGGAAUGGGUCGGGGUUGUGUGGUAUGAUGGAAGUACAGCCUACAACCCAACACUGAAAUCCCGCCUCAGCAUCACCAGGGACACGUCCAAGAGCCAAGUUUGCUUAACACUGAACAGCCUGAGAGCCGAGGACACGGCCGUGUAUUACUGUGCACGACACAAAAUGAGGGGAA